UCCUCCGUGGCGCAAUUGGCAGCGCGUUAGACUGUUACCAAAAAAUAGCAAUCUAGAGGUUGGCGGAUCGUACCCGCCCGGGGGAG